rnacentral:rRNA from 1 species
AGAGUUUGAUCAUGGCUCAGGAUGAACGCUGGCGGCGUGCUUAACACAUGCAAGUCGAACGAGGUCCAACCUUCGGGUGAAGACCUAGUGGCGAACGGGUGAGUAACACGUGGGGAACCUGCCCUUCUCUCUGGGAUAACGUCGAGAAAUCGGUGCUAAUACCGGAUACUCCUUGCGGAUCGCAUGGUCUGCUCGGGAAAGCUUAAGGCGGGGAUGGAUGGCCCCGCGGCCCAUUAGCUAGUUGGUGAGGUAACGGCUCACCAAGGCAACGAUGGGUAGCCGAGCUGAGAGGCUGAUCGGCCACACUGGGACUGAGACACGGCCCAGACUCCUACGGGAGGCAGCAGUGGGGAAUUUUGCACAAUGGGCGAAAGCCUGAUGCAGCAACGCCGCGUGCGGGAUGAAGGCCCUAGGGUUGUAAACCGCUUUCAGCAGGGAUGGGAUUGACAGUACCUGCAGAAGAAGCCCCGGCUAAAUACGUGCCAGCAGCCGCGGUAAUACGUAUGGGGCAAGCGUUAUCCGGAUUCAUUGGGCGUAAAGAGCGCGUAGGCGGAUUGUUAAGUCGGAUGUGAAAACCGGGGGCUCAACCCGCGGCCUGCAUCUGAAACUGGCAGUCUUGAGUCUGGUAGAGGAAAGUGGAAUUCCUGGUGUAGCGGUGAAAUGCGCAGAUAUCAGGAGGAACACCAGUGGCGAAGGCGGCUUUCUGGGCCACGACUGACGCUGAGGCGCGAAAGCUAGGGGAGCGAACAGGAUUAGAUACCCUGGUAGUCCUA